rnacentral:rRNA from 1 species
CUGACACAGGGAGGUAGUGACAAUAAAUAACAAUGCCGGGCCCAUCUGGGUCUGGCAAUUGGAAUGAGAACAAUUUAAAUCCCUUAUCGAGGAUCAAUUGGAGGGCAAGUCUGGUGCCAGCAGCCGCGGUAAUUCCAGCUCCAAUAGCGUAUAUUAAAGUUGUUGCAGUUAAAAAGCUCGUAGUUGGAUUUCUAGCGGAUGCAACCGGUCUGCUCCGCGAGGAGUGGGACUAGCGUUGUCGUCUGUUAUCCUUGAGUUGAUCGUGUCUGGCAUUUGGUUGUCGGAUACGCUACACUCAUCGUUUACUGUGAAAAAUUAGAGUGUUCAAAGCAAGCUUAGGCUCUGAAUAUAUUAGCAUGGAAUAAUAAGAUAAGACCUUGGUGGUUUAUUUUGUUGGUUUGCACGCCGAGGUAAUGAUUAAUAGGGAUAGUUGGGGGUAUUCGUAUUCAAUUGUCAGAGGUGAAAUUCUUGGAUUUAUGGA